rnacentral:rRNA from 1 species
GAACGCUGGCGGCGUGCUUAACACAUGCAAGUCGAACGGAAAGGCCCUGCUUUUGUGGGGUGCUCGAGUGGCGAACGGGUGAGUAACACGUGAGUAACCUGCCCUUGACUUUGGGAUAACUUCAGGAAACUGGGGCUAAUACCGGAUAGGAGCUCCUGCUGCAUGGUGGGGGUUGGAAAGUUUCGGCGGUUGGGGAUGGACUCGCGGCUUAUCAGCUUGUUGGUGGGGUAGUGGCUUACCAAGGCUUUGACGGGUAGCCGGCCUGAGAGGGUGACCGGCCACAUUGGGACUGAGAUACGGCCCAGACUCCUACGGGAGGCAGCAGUGGGGAAUAUUGCACAAUGGGCGGAAGCCUGAUGCAGCAACGCCGCGUGCGGGAUGAAGGCCUUCGGGUUGUAAACCGCUUUCGCCUGUGACGAAGCGUGAGUGACGGUAAUGGGUAAAGAAGCACCGGCUAACUACGUG